rnacentral:rRNA from 1 species
UACGUAGGGUGCAAGCGUUGUCCGGAAUUAUUGGGCGUAAAGAGCUUGUAGGCGGUUUGUCGCGUCUGCUGUGAAAUUUCGGGGCUCAACCCCGAACUUGCAGUGGGUACGGGCAGACUAGAGUGUGGUAGGGGAGACUGGAAUUCCUGGUGUAGCGGUGAAAUGCGCAGAUAUCGGGAGGAACACCAGUAGCGAAGGCGGCUCGCUGGGCCAUUCCUGACGCUGAGACGCGAAAGCUAGGGGAGCGAACAGG